CGCAGGCGCUGCCUGCGCCCGGCUUGGCCGCACCGCUCUCCUCGCCGCCGGCCCACUCCUCGUCCUGCAGCGGCGGCCGUCCGUCCAGCGAGAUGUUGACUGAGGAUGCAGCCCCUGAUUUAAAUGCAUACCCGAGGGUGCGUAAGAACCCAGGAGCGAACAUCAAACGUGUGGCCAGACUAAUUGACACAUCUCCAUUUGAUGGUGCUGUCACUUUUCAUCUCUUUCUUAGCAAAGGCCAACAUAAAUUUUUACUUCGACCCAGAAACGUGCUCCGUUUUCCAUGAAGAACAAGGAAGAAGAGAAUGAUGUCUCCUUCAUCUCAACCUAUAAGGCUCGCUUCAAAUGAUACUUUCUCCACAGACCCUCCCUGACUUCCACUGUGUGAACACUGAGUUUUUCCCCAUCUCACAAGACGCUGCCCCCGUUCCUCCUUUUCCUGGAUUGGAGUCAGGACACCAGGGUCUCAUCCAUGUUCUGCAGUGAAUUUCCCUGUUUAAAGGUAGCAGCCCCGUGCUCGUGGCUCCUCUAACUGCAGGGUGAUGGCUGGUGAAUACAGACAGAAUGCAAGCACCUGGCUUCGCUAUUGGGUGUUAUCUGGUCAGGUAAGAUGAGCGUACCCCUGACCCACCACUCCUAAACAAUUAGACACCAGCUUUAGGGAUGUUAACUCAGGGACAGGCCUGUGAAUUGAACGUGGCCGGUUACUCAGAAGGGUUUGGUGGGGGCCUGAGGCAGCGGCGAAAUAAUGAAAGGGUACUCUUGGGCUUCUGGUCCCAGCUGUGGAAGGGGGCAGAGCAACGAUACCGUGUGAUGGAACAAGAGCUCUGUGCUGACGAUGCGUUACAGCAGGUGGAGGGCAUUACAAAAGGCCUACCUGAGUCAUUGAGCAACACACAAAACCCCACUAUCUGGGGUCUAAAACAGCUGUAUACGACAUAUGGGACCCCACCAUGGACAUCAACAGUGACCAAGGAACUCACUUUACUGGGUCUGAAGUUCAGGAAUGAGCCAAUUAAGAAUGACGUACACUGGCGUUUGCUUAUUACCCCACUGCUGCUGGGCUAUGACCGGACUACUUAACAACUGAGAUGGGAAACUGGUUCUCUCAACGUGUGACACAUCCCAGGAGCAAUUGUCCCAGUGCCUACACCAUGAUAACCCAGAAGCAACUAGUCAACACAAGCCAAGUUCACCUAUUGGCCACUGAAGGACCGUUGCCAGCUAUUGGUCAGGACAGUAACUUACUUUUGCCCUUGCCGCAGGGUCUGUCCCCAGGAACACGUUAUAAAAUGGCCCUGGGACUGGCAGGUAAGUCCCCGGUGGUUUGCUUUUCCCGCCCCAUGAGGAAUAGGAUUCUAAAGGGACUUAAGAGAUUUCACCUGUCUUCUACCCAGCCCCACCUGAGACUGCUGAAACAAUCCAGGCCCCCUACUGGAGAAAGGCACCAUUAUAUCAGCCUGUGGUCAGUUGUUAUACCACCUCUCCAGCGUUCGGCACCGGCUGAGGACUGAGGGUGGACAAGCGGUGUACUACUGCAGGCCAGGACGUGGCGGCAGAGGUAGUGUUAUCUCAGAAUGUUGUCACUGCUUGUCGUUUGCUUAAUGGUCAUGACCUUCCCUGUAUGGUGCCUGUUAAAACAUCUUACAUUUUGUCCCUAGUCUGAAUGGAGGGAAUCUGUUUGUGGACUGGGCAACACUGGGGGCCUCACUGCGAAAUGAGUUUGAUUGCUGGAACUACAGUGAGAUGCUGUUGUUGUCCUCUGGAAUUCCAUGAAAAUUUGACCUGAUGAGCUGCCUGGCUGUAAGGUUUGCCCACCUCUUGCACUCUUGAUGCUUUUUAGCUUCUGUUGUCUGUAUUGCAUUUGCGGUAUUUGGUGGCAGGGCACCCCUACGUACCUGAGCCCAGGGAUAUCUCGGAAGAGGGGUGAACCAAGAUUGUAAGGGUCAUGCGGGGUAUGUGGGGUGGAGUGUAUGGCCAGGCCACUCAAGGUGGCUGUUCUCUUGCUCUUUGUACAUCCCCUGCUCGACCAGUCCCUGCUUCACCUACACUCUGCUCACACGAACGUGCUUGGCCUCUGCCCCAGCUAGUGAUUGUUCUAGUCUUUAGGCCAGAACGGCUCCAGCUGCUAGUUUAUUAAAGGGAAGUAUCUGCCCUGGAGAUGGUUGUUACCCUGAGGGGCUGGGAGGGACCUGCCCCAGCUGCUAGUUUCCCUGGUAACUGAUGAGCCAACCUGCGGUCAUUUCCCCCUAUAAAUGGUAGCCUCCUUCUCCCCUGACUAGCGAAGAUUGUUGCCAUGGCCUGCCUGUUGUCUGUCCUACAUGGUAGGGUGACCCCUUGUUUUGGAGGGGUAGGAUCCCCUAUCCACUAAAUCAUUGUCUCUGUCCCUGCCUUGGGGCUCUUUCUUCAGUCUCGAGGCUGGGCAAUGACAAGACUUGCAGGCCUGCGGGGUGCAGCCCCAAAUGGUCUAAGGUUGGUCUGAGUUUCAUCUUAUUCGUUCCUGCCAACCUUUGGAAAUGUUAAAGAACACUGAAGGGGUCCAGAGUCAGCAUGAAUGAUUAUCUGAGUGAAUAAACAGAAGGAUCAGUACAAACGAAAACCUCCUGGACACAUCUUCAACUGGGUAGUGGGCCUCCCUGCAUGAGUGGAGAGUAACAUAUAUGAGGGAAAUGCUUUGGAGGGAGUACUAGAGGCCAAUCGUUACUGCCCUAUAGUCUGGCCUAUGAUUUCAUAAACUGGUUUGUUGAGCAAAUGUCCACUAUGUAACGGUUGCUGUAUUCUUUAAUGUGUGAAAGUUCACUUCAGAAUUAGAGAUGAAUGUGUUUCUAUUUAAUAGUUUUACAAUUAUAAAUGAUGUGUAAAACAAGGGUCUCUUCCCGUUUCCAGUGAGAGACCCCAUCCAAUUGAUCAUUAUGUCCCUUGUUACCACUGAAUUGGUGAUCAGCUCACUGAGGAGAAACUGUCAUAUUCAUCUUCGGAUCCUCCCUCAGCUGCCCCAGUUCUGGUAACAAUCAUUCAAUUGCUUAAAUUUCUUUCCGAUUCCUACUGCCACCUUCUUGGCUCAGAUGUUCUUCAUGCUGGGAAUAUUACUAAAUUUCUUUAUUGCACACCUGAUUCUAUGCUUGACUACCCCCUGCCCACCCCCCCCCAAAAAAACCCUCAUUUUACGUAUUAUAUAUUGCUGCCUGAUGAUUAUAUAUAAAUUAAUACGUUACUACCCAACUCAAUAUUUUCAGUCAGGGGAUGUUUGAAAGCUUAUCAUGUAGCUAUUUAGUUUUCCCUGUUGUCUUAAGCAGUAUUUCUUAGAUUUGACUCAUCCUAAUAAUCUGAGAACUUAAAAAAAAAAAAAAAAAGCUCAAGUUACACCUGAAUCAAAAUUCCCACAGGAGCCCAAGAAUCUAUUUAUCAAGCAUCCAGGUGACCUUUAUGAUUAA